rnacentral:lncRNA from 1 species
AUGAGAAGAGCGCCUGUGCAGCCAACUUUACCGCCCAGACCGAAGAUGGCGCCAGGGCGGACGGGGCCCAACGAGACUGUCGUAGCCCAGGCGAGCCGCAAUCUCCACAGCCCUUGGCCCCGCCCCAGCCCACAGACAGCCAAUGAGAAGAGCGCCUGUACAGCCAACGCUACCGCCCACACCAAAGGUGGCGCCAGGGUGGGUAGGCUGGGAGGGGUGCUCCCACCCUCUCACCACGCAGAGAAAGUACCCUGGAGGCACGAAGCCCUCAGCCCCGCCCCCUGCAGCCUGUGGCUCCUCCCGCCGCCACUGCGGCAAAACAGGCCCCGCCCCCAAGGACGGGCAGGGAUGCAGGGACAGCCCCAGGGACCCAUCCUGUCAGGGAUGCCGCGGGAUGGAUAUAGUGGCCGGCAGCCUCCAGACCCAGCCGACAAUGGAGGGAGCACCCUGAGACUCGGCCGCCCAGCAGUCCCCCAGCGCCCAGCCCGCCCCUGUCCCCACCUCCACCAGGCAAGAUGGCGCAGCAGUGCCCCCGCUCUGCGGCCCCUCAAAGGGAGGGCCCGUCACCAGGACCCUGGCGGGCCACACAAGAUGGCGCCCGCGGCAAGUGCGGCAACCAGGACCCUGGGCCCGCUGAGGGAGGACCCCGCCAGGCCAAGUCCAACGGCCGUCCCCCGCACCGCUGACCGGGUCCCUGGACGGCAGCGUGUGACCGCCGCGCCGCCUCCUGACAUCAUACUGAUGGGGACUGGCCCAACUCACCUCCCCUCACCACACUGCCUCAGGGCCGACCGGGGCGCAGCCCGCGUGCACGGUCUAGCACACCCACAGGGCUCCUGGCGCCCUGCGGCGCCACCAGCCCAAGGUGGACAUGCCCGCUCUUCCACUCCGACCUCGUCCUCCUGCAGCUCCCGUCGUCUGCACCGAGCCUCUGCGUGCAUCUCCUUGUCAGGCUCUCCGCAGAGGCGGGGCUCCAGUGCGGGCCAAUCAGCGGCCGAGCUGCCCACCCCGGGCCCCUCGCCACGCCUCUGGGCCCUGCCAAUCAGGCUAUGGUUGCCGUGCCGACAGCUUGGCGCGAAGGCAGGAGGUUGA